rnacentral:rRNA from 1 species
UACGAAGGGGGCGAGCGUUGUCCGGAAUUAUUGGGCGUAAAGAGCUCGUAGGCGGCUUGUCGCGUCGGUUGUGAAAGCCCGGGGCUUAACCCCGGGUCUGCAGUCGAUACGGGCAGGCUAGAGUUCGGUAGGGGAGAUCGGAAUUCCUGGUGUAGCGGUGAAAUGCGCAGAUAUCGGGAAGAACACCCGUGGCGAAGGCGGCUCUCUGGGACGGUACUGACGCUGAGACGCGAAAGCGUGGGGAGCAAACAGG